GAUGAACGCUGGCGGCGUGCCUAAUACAUGCAAGUCGAGCGAACGGACGAGAAGCUUGCUUCUCUGAUGUUAGCGGCGGACGGGUGAGUAACACGUGGAUAACCUACCUAUAAGACUGGGAUAACUUCGGGAAACCGGAGCUAAUACCGGAUAAUAUUUUGAACCGCAUGGUUCAAAAGUGAAAGACGGUCUUGCUGUCACUUAUAGAUGGAUCCGCGCUGCAUUAGCUAGUUGGUAAGGUAACGGCUUACCAAGGCAACGAUGCAUAGCCGACCUGAGAGGGUGAUCGGCCACACGGGAACUGAGACACGGACCAGACUACUACGGGAGGCAGCAGUAGGGAAUCUUCCGCAAUGGGCGAAAGCCUGACGGAGCAACGCCGCGUGAGUGAUGAAGGUCUUCGGAUCGUAAAACUCUGUUAUUAGGGAAGAACAUAUGUGUAAGUAACUGUGCACAUCUUGACGGUACCUAAUCAGAAAGCCACGGCUAACUACGUG
rnacentral:rRNA from 1 species